GGACCCGACCGCUAUCGGGGUAGGGCUAAGCCAUGCGAGCCGCGCGCCCGGGGGCGCCCGGGAGCGGCGCACGGCUCAGUAACACGUGCCCAACCUACCCUCGGGAGGGGGACACCCCCGGGAAACUGGGGCCAAUCCCCCAUAGGGGAAGGGCGCUGGAAGGCCCCCUCCCCGAAAGGACGGCGGCCGAUCCGCCGCCGCCCGCCCGAGGAUGGGGGCACGGCCCAUCAGGUAGUUGGCGGGCUAAAGGCCCGCCAAGCCGAAGACGGGUAGGGGCGGUGAGAGCCGCGAGCCCCGAGAUCGGCACUGAGACAAGGGCCGAGGCCCUACGGGGUGCAGCAGGCGCGAAUACUCCGCAAUGCGGGCAACCGCGACGGGGCUACCCCGAGUGCCGGGCGAAGAGCCCGGCUUUUGCCCGGUCUAAAAAGCCGGGAGAAUAAGCGGGGGGCAAGUCUGGUGUCAGCCGCCGCGGUAAUACCAGCUCCGCGAGUGGUCGGGGUGUUUACUGGGCUUAAAGCGCCCGUAGCCGGCCCGGCAAGUCGCUCCUGAAAUCCCAGGGCUCAACCCUGGGGCGGGGGGCGAUACUGCCGGGCUAGGGGGCGGAAGAGGCCGCCGGUACUCCGGGGGUAGGGGCGAAAUCCGUUAAUCCCCGGAGGACCACCAGUGGCGAAAGCGGGCGGCCAGAACGCGCCCGACGGUGAGGGGCGAAAGCCGGGGGAGCAAACCGGGCUCAGGUCGGCGUUGCGCAGACGAUCAUCCUCCUACUACGCGCGCCAACCCUCUCUACCAAGCCGACCUGGCCCGGGCUCAAAGGGGAUUAGAUACCCCUGUAGUCCCGGCCGUAAACGAUGCGGGCUAGCUGUCGGCUGGGCUUAGGGCCCGGCCGGUGGCGAAGGGAAACCGUUAAGCCCGCCGCCUGGGGAGUACGGCCGCAAGGCUGAAACUUAAAGGAAUUGGCGGGGGGGCACCACAAGGGGUGAAGCUUGCGGCUUAAUUGGAGUCAACGCCGGAA
rnacentral:rRNA from 1 species